GACGAACGCUGGCGGCGUGCUUAACACAUGCAAGUCGAACGGAAAGGCCCUGCUUUUGUGGGGUGCUCGAGUGGCGAACGGGGGAGUAACACGUGAGUAACCUGCCCUUGACUUUGGGAUAACUUCAGGAAACUGGGGCUAAUACCGGAUAGGAGCUCCUGCUGCAUGGUGGGGGUUGGAAAGUUUCGGCGGUUGGGGAUGGACUCGCGGCUUAUCAGCUGGUUGGUGGGGUAGUGGCUUACCAAGGCUUUGACGGGUAGCCGGCCUGAGAGGGUGACCGGCCACAUUGGGACUGAGAUACGGACCAGACUCCUACGGGAGGCAGCAGUGGGGAAUAUGGCACAAUGGGCGGAAGCCUGAUGCAGCAACGCCGCGUGCGGGAUGACGGCUUUCGGGUUGUAAACCGCUUUCGCCUGUGACGAAGCGUGAGUGACGGUAAUGGGUAAAGAAGCACCGGCUAACUACGUG
rnacentral:rRNA from 1 species